AAAUCUUUCUUUCUUCAAGUUCCCAAAGAAACUAUAAUUACUUUGAACUUCAAAUUUGAAACUUCAGUUACGCCUUUUUUACAAUUUCACAAACAAGGUCAUUCCAAGUUCCCGUUUGAAUUUUUCUCCGACCGGUUAGAGAUCAUACAUCAAUGUUUGUGAUUUUCAGUGCCUAAUGUCUACGCCCAAAGGUGGCUCAGAAACUAAACCUUGUGUUUCUUAAAAACUCAUUGCACUGAAUGACAAAUACGUGGAUUUUAAAAGAGAUUUACCAAAAAGCUCUUGAAUCCAAGUAUAAAACAAUGACACAAGCUAAUAGAACAUGCUUCUAACCAAGCUAGAACCCAUCUUCUAACGCCCAAGUCCAUCUAAGCUCAAUCCUAUAUUUUAUACAUCAAUAAAAAGACCUAUCAAAGACUUUUCCUUUCAAAACCAAAUAUAAAUACUAAGACCCCAAAUCAACCCUAAAGUGAUCAUCUCAAACUUACAAAAUAACGACAUAAUUUGGCUAGCAUUUCAAAAGCAAUAUAUAAAAUUCUUUCUUUUCGUUUAAAAAAAAAAAAAAAAAAAA
rnacentral:misc_RNA from 1 species